AUGCUCAAAGAUCCUGCAGUGCGUCAC
rnacentral:misc_RNA from 1 species